rnacentral:lncRNA from 1 species
GUUGGUUGAAAAUAACACCAUGUAAAAGCUUACCUGUCUUUCACUCUCUCUCUCAGCUACAACCAGUGUCAACAGUUUGUUUGUAUAUAAAGAGAUGGAGAGCACUGCAUACAGUUUAACCAGUGACACCAGUGAGUAGAGACACAACAUUGGUAUGGUAUUUCUGUGUGAUUGCUUUGAUUUUAUUAAAUGGUUGCUGUGGUGUUGCUAACUGGUUUUACAGCUUCAUCCAGUGUCAACAGUGAGUCUUUAUUUACAGAAGUGACGAUCAGUAAAUCCACUGUUACCAGUGACACCACUUCAUCCAGUGUCAACAGUGAGUCUUUAUUUACAGGAGUGAUGAGCAGUGACUACACUUUUACCAGUGACACCAGUAAGUGAAGACACAACAUUGGUAUGGUGUUUGUGUGAUUGCUUUGAAUUUAUUAAAUGGUUGCUGUGGUGUUGCUAACUGGUUUCA